rnacentral:rRNA from 1 species
CACGUAGGGGCCAAGCGUUGUCCGGAUUUAUUGGGCGUAAAGAGCUCGUAGGCGGUUCGACAAGUCGGGUGUGAAAACUCCGGGCUCAACCCGGAGACGCCACCCGAUACUGUCGUGACUGGAGUCCGGUAGGGGAGUGGGGAAUUCCUGGUGUAGCGGUGAAAUGCGUAGAUAUCAAGAGGAACACCUGAGGCGAAGGCGGGUUGCUAGGCUGACACUGACGCUGAGUGCGCGAAAGCCAGGGGAGCAAACGGG